AUUGAACGCUGGCGGCAGGCCUAACACAUGCAAGUCGAGCGAGCGGCGGACGGGUGAGUAAUGUAUGGGGAUCUGCCUGAUGGCGGGGGAUAACUACUGGAAACGGUAGCUAAUACCGCAUACCAUCAGAUGAACCCAUAUGGGAUUAGCUAGUAGGUACGGUAACGGCUUACCUAGGCGACGAACCCUAGCUGGUCUGAGAGGAUGAUCAGCCACACUGUGACUGAGCCACGGCCCAGACUCCUGCGGUAGGCAGCAGUGGUGAAGAUGGCCCAAUGGGCGCAAGCCUGAUGCAGCCAGGCCGCGUGUAUGAAGAAGGCCUUCGGGUUGUAAAGUACUUUCAGUCGGGAGGCGUUACCGACAGAAGAAGCACCGGCUAACUCCGUGCCAGCCGCCGCGGUAAUUC
rnacentral:rRNA from 1 species